rnacentral:rRNA from 1 species
GAUGAACGCUGGCUACAGGCUUAACACAUGCAAGUCGAGGGGAAACGACGGGGAAGCUUGCUUCCCCGGGCGUCGACCGGCGCACGGGUGAGUAACGCGUAUCCAACCUGCCUCUGACUGAGGGAUAACCCGUCGAAAGUCGGCCUAAUACCUCAUGGCAUCGUCUGCGGGCAUCCAACGACGAUUAAAGAUUUCAUCGGUCAGGGAUGGGGAUGCGUCUGAUUAGCUUGUUGGCGGGGUAACGGCCCACCAAGGCGACGAUCAGUAGGGGUUCUGAGAGGAAGGUCCCCCACAUUGGAACUGAGACACGGUCCAAACUCCUACGGGAGGCAGCAGUGAGGAAUAUUGGUCAAUGGGCGAGAGCCUGAACCAGCCAAGUAGCGUGCAGGAUGACGGCCCUAUGGGUUGUAAACUGCUUUUAUGCGGGGAUAAAGUGAGGGACGUGUCCUUUCAUUG